UCUCUGUGAUGAGCAACAAUGAUGACGAGUCCGAUCUUAUUCCAUUCUUCUAAUCGUGACGACAAAUCGAGGCAUUUGUCUGAGAGGA